rnacentral:lncRNA from 1 species
GGUGGAACAUGCUUAAACUAUGUGCAUUCAAUUCUUUCGGAUGAAUAUGCUUACUAGUAUUUUUCUUUUUUGAAAAAUAGUUGAGAUAAUUUUGUAUUAAGUAACAAGUUUUCUACUUGGUCUUGGAUUUGAUAAAAUUCAUCACAUGAUUUUAUGAAAUAGCAGCUAGUUCAUGGAUUCAAAACUUCAUCCUUAUUGUGAGGUAAAACUUGAGCCGGCUAGGUCUCACCAGAUUGGUGUGUUAUCUGAUNAGUUCAUGGAUUCAAAACUUCAUCCUUAUUGUGAGGUAAAACUUGAGCCGGCUAGGUCUCACCAGAUUGGUGUGUUAUCUGAUCAAAUAACAAAGUCAAACCUUCAAAGGACCAGUUUAAUGGGCUUCUUGUUGAAUCACCCUGACCUUCUGGAUUUAAUGGUUGCACUUAUCCAGUUUCUUAAUGCCCUAUAGUUGGAUUUAGAGUUGAUUUUGUAGUUCAAUAUUUUUUAAAAAGUCCACCCCCUCUCUCCCAACCGAAAAGAAAGAGAAUAUCUUAGCUUCCUGUUAAUCAACAUGAUGCAUAAGCUAGACUCAUCUAUUUUUGUUGUUGUGUGCUAACAGC